rnacentral:rRNA from 1 species
UUUCUAUGGAGAGUUUGAUCCUGGCUCAGGACGAACGCUGGCGGCGUGCCUAAUACAUGCAAGUCGAGCGGACGAAUCGAA